rnacentral:rRNA from 2 species
UACGGGAGGCAGCAGUAGGGAAUCUUCCACAAUGGACGAAAGUCUGAUGGAGCAACGCCGCGUGAGUGAAGAAGGGUUUCGGCUCGUAAAACUCUGUUGUUAAAGAAGAACAUAUCUGAGAGUAACUGUUCAGGGGAUUGACGGUAUUUAACCAGAAAGCCACGGCUAACUACGUGCCAGCAGCCGCGGUAAUACGUAGGUGGCAAGCGUUGUCCGGAUUUAUUGGGCGUAAAGCGAGCGCAGGCGGUUUUUUAAGUCUGAUGUGAAAGCCUUCGGCUCAACCGAAGAAGUGCAUCGGAAACUGGGAAACUUGAGUGCAGAAGAGGACAGUGGAACUCCAUGUGUAGCGGUGAAAUGCGUAGAUAUAUGGAAGAACACCAGUGGCGA